AAUUAUCUCUGUGGACGGUGAGAAGGACUCAGAUGAAGUCCUUUACUGCUGGAAGAAGUUUGUUGGGGUAUCUUUAUGGAUAUCAUUUGCAGAGGGUUUCCAGAAGUGGCUCUUGAAGCUGACAGCUGCAGCCUACAACACAUCCAGUGUUUUGGAUACCUACUGUAAUGAAAGCUCAGAUGAGUGUAAGCACCAAAGGGAGUAAUUUCUCUCUGGAGCUGUUGGUCAGAAAAGCCAAGUGAACUUCCAAAAACCAUCCUAGGAUGAGCAGCAUUACCAUAAAGAUGCAACAGCCACACCAUGAUGGGAUAUUUGCUCAUAAGGGAUGAAGAAUAUGAGAGAGGGUCCUCAAGGUGCUGUAUGCUAGGCAGUUAAAAAUAUUGUAUUUCUGAACAGACUGCUCUGUGUCACUGUAAAAUGUCUCCACCUGAAUCAUGAAAAGGCAAACUCUCAGUGGAGAUCCACCCU